UAGUAAUAUGCACUUAUAAACAGGACAACAACUCACAUCCAUUUUGCUUAAUACACACACAUGGACGUGCAGCAGCACACAAACAUUUUUGAAUAUUAAAAUUAAAGGAUUAAAAUGUAUAAAGAUCACUAUUGUGACAUAAAUGAGGACAGAUUUUUAAAGCUGCUUCACCUUUAGCCUGGUAAGCUGAUUUUUUUGGUACAUUUGUAAAUGAUUCUUAUAAAAACCUUCCUACAUUAAUUUAAAUUUUUAAGGGAAACCAAAGCUUUAAUAACCCAAAUAACCAUUUCAAUAUAUAAAACAACACAAUUUUUAACAUCAAUCUUAAAGGGCACCAGUUAUCCUAUUCACAUUUUUACAUCCCCAAAUCUGGAGCUACAAAGAUCCCGUACACACUACAUAUUAAUUCGGUUGUCACUUCACCUUUUAAUGCUUAAUCCUGUUCUGUACACACACAGUUCAGUAAUUUACGGGACUCACAACCGCAUUCCACAACCGAAUUAACUCCCGCAAAAUGCAGGAGUGACUACCGCAUUUACAGAUAUUCCACGCUGUGUGUACACAACCGAACUCAACUACUGGUUGUUGACGAUGACGUCACGGGACUUCCGCCAAUAGCCGUGUAGGGCGCCUGCUAGAUUUUACCUCAGACAGAUUGCAGGAUGGCGGAGAGAGGUUUGUUGUGGAGCGACCAAGAAACAAAAUUGUUAAUUGCAAUAUGGGCAGACAAAAAUAUUCAAAGAAAAAUGGACAGUACCAAACGAAAUAAAAUGGUUUUUGAAGAAAUAGCAAAAAAAAUGUCAGAAAAUGGUGUUUCAAGAACUGCAAAACAGUGUAGAAUAAAACUGAAGGCGUUGAAGACUGAUUAUAAAAAAAUUAUAGACCACAAUAAUCGUUCUGGGCGGGAGAGGAGAACGUUUAAGUUUUUUGAAGAUAUGGAUCGGGUUUUGCGGGAUAACCCUAGCUGCCACCCAGCAUUUGUUUUCGAUUCAUCAUCAGAGAUUGACGUUACCGGCGAAGACGUUUCGUCGCCCGAGAGCGAUAUGGAAAAUCCUAACGAAGAGUCGACUGUGGAAGUGUGCUCGCCCGGAUGUUCAGUCUCUGCAGCGACCUCAGGAGGAGAAGAGAGUAGCUGCAGCGCCAGUAAUUCAGGUGCAUUACAAACAGGUAACCUUAAUUGUCUAAUAAACUUGCAUAUUAGUGAAAAUACACACGCAUAUUCAUACAUAUCCUCCAGUUUCCUUCAAAACAAUAGCAUCUUUUAAUGACAUAAGCGUACUUGGGUUAAGUAUAAUAUAAGUUAAUUUUUUGGGCACACACAGUUUACUGCCCCACUUGCACUCAUACUGUACUUUUAUUGAUUCAUUCCCGAGCACGCUUUUAUCAUUAGGAAUCCACUGUUUUGAAGAAAACACUAUGUAAAGCACUCUCCCAACACUGGAGCCCAUCAUGUUAAG